ensembl:snRNA U6 U6 spliceosomal RNA
GUGCUCACUUCAGCAGCACAUAUACUAAAAUUGUAAUAAUACAGGAGACGAUUAGCAUAGCCCCUGCACAAGGAUGACACACAAAUUUGUGAAGAGUUGAUAUUUUUU